UACGGAGGGUGCGAGCGUUGUCCGGAAUCACUGGGCGUAAAGGGCGCGUAGGCGGCCUGAUAAGUAGGGGGUGAAAUCCUGCGGCUUAACCGCAGGGCUGCCUUCUAAACUGUCAGGCUAGAGCACAGUAGAGGCAGGUGGAAUUCCCGGUGUAGCGGUGAAAUGUGUAGAGAUCGGGAGGAACACCGGUGGCGAAGGCGGGUCUCUGGGCAAUUCCUGACGCUGAGGCGCGAAAGCGUGGGGAGCAAACGGG
rnacentral:rRNA from 1 species